rnacentral:rRNA from 1 species
UUGAAGAGUUUGAUCAUGGCUCAGAUUGAACGCUGGCGGCAGGCCUAACACAUGCAAGUCGAACGGUAACAGGAAGCAGCUUGCUGCUUCGCUGACGAGUGGCGGACGGGUGAGUAAUGUCUGGGAAACUGCCUGAUGGAGGGGGAUAACUACUGGAAACGGUGGCUAAUACCGCAUAACGUCGCAAGACCAAAGAGGGGGACCUUCGGGCCUCUUGCCAUCAGAUGUGCCCAGAUGGGAUUAGCUUGUUGGUGAGGUAACGGCUCACCAAGGCGACGA